GACGAACCGUGCGAACGUUGUUCGGAAUCACUGGGCUUAAAGGGCGCGUAGGCGGGCUGUCAAGUCUGGGGUGAAAUCCCGCGGCUCAACCGUGGAACUGCCUCAGAUACUGACGGCCUCGAGGGAGGUAGGGGCGAGCGGAACUGUGAGUGGAGCGGUGAAAUGCGUUGAUAUUCACAGGAACUCCGGUGGCGAAGGCGGCUCGCUGGACCUCUUCUGACGCUGAGGAGCGAAAGCUAGGGGAGCAAACGGG
rnacentral:rRNA from 1 species